rnacentral:lncRNA from 1 species
ACUUAGUGAGGCCCUGUCUAGAAAAAAAAAAUUAAAAGGAUGGGGGAUGUAGCUCAGUGAGAAGGCCCUUGGUUCAGCCUCCAAACCAACAAAACAAAGCUCCCAAGAAACAAUAAAAAAACUUAAGCCAGUAAACUUUCAUACAAUAAAUAUUUAAUAGUUAUUAUACCUAGAGUAUUGUUUACUCAUACUUAAUUGGCCACACCCACUUAAAUAUCAGCAUACAAGGAAAUCUCAACUUUCUGUGCUGGGAGAACCUUCCUCUGUAACUAUCAGCACAGCCUGGUGCCUAGGACAACUCACAACAAAGCUGGCUGUGCUGUCUUGGGGAUCCAAACAUGGAGGACUGGAUACACGGAUAUCCCGCUGAAACUUCCUGGCACUGGCAAGAGGUUAAAAUCUCAGAAUAUCUAAAAAACAAGGAUGUAGUGCUCUGUACAUAAACAUUGGACAUCCUGUCUGGAUUGUGCUUCUCUGAAUAUUCACAGUCCUCUGGGUCUGAGCCAUGGAACCCAGCUUCCUUGGCACUGUAUCUACAUGAUACCUUUGGCCCUUUAAAGUUGGCAUCUUCUGCUGGUACUUCCUGCCUUGGAUACAUUUUGGUGUGCUGGAAAAUUUCCCAGGACAAGAGAUUUCUACAACCAUGGAUCUCUGAUAGUCACAGACUCCCUGAGGUGGUGCCUACCCAGAAGCCGGAAAUCCUAUUAUCCUUUUAUACAAGUGGCUGCUCUCUGAAGAGACCAACAAUAGCACAUUCAAGAAAAGAACUGCAGUCAGAGACCAGGAAGAGACAAUGUGAGGCUGAGACUGGACAGCCAGCGAAAGGGAUAUUGUGAACUACAGACCCAAGAUAGAUUUUUAAUCAUCUGGACAAAGUAUAAAGUCUAAGCAAUUCAAGGACAAAUAUUAUUCACUGCUUGACUUGGGCUGUUUUUCACCUGUACUACAGCAUUAUGAAAGCAUUUCCCCAAACUAAGGUAGGUGCUAAAGAAUCAUCAAUAUAAAAAGGCAAUUAUAAUGUAAU